rnacentral:rRNA from 1 species
UACGUAGGUGGCAAGCGUUGUCCGGAAUUAUUGGGCGUAAAGAGCAUGUAGGCGGGCUUUUAAGUCCGACGUGAAAAUGCGGGGCUUAACCUCGUAUGGCGUUGGAUACUGGAAGUCUUGAGUGCAGGAGAGGAAAGGGGAAUUCCCAGUGUAGCGGUGAAAUGCGUAGAUAUUGGGAGGAACACCAGUGGCGAAGGCGCCUUUCUGGACUGUGUCUGACGCUGAGAUGCGAAAGCCAGGGUAGCAAACGGG